rnacentral:rRNA from 1 species
AGAGUUUGAUCAUGGCUCAGAGCGAACGCUGGCGGCAGGCUUAACACAUGCAAGUCGAGCGGCCGUAGCAAUACGGCAGCGGCAGACGGGAGAGUAACACGUGGGAACGCGCCCUUCGGUUCGGAAUAACUCAGGGAAACUUGAGCUAAUACCGGAUACGCCCUUACGGGGAAAGAUUUAUUGCCGAAGGAACGGCCCGCGUCCGAUUAGCUAGUUGGUGAGGUAACGGCUCACCAAGGCGACGAUCGGUAGCUGGUCUGAGAGGAUGAUCAGCCUCACUGGGACUGAGACACGGCCCAGACUCCUACGGGAGGCAGCAGUGGGGAAUAUUGGACAAUGGGCGCAAGCCUGAUCCAGCCAUGCCGCGUGGAUGAUGAAGGCCUUAGGGUUGUAAAGUCCUUUCAGCGGGGAAGAUAAUGACGGUACCCGCAGAAGAAGCCCCGGCUAACUUCGUGCCAGCAGCCGCGGUAAUAC